GACGAACGCUGGCGGCGUGCCUAACACAUGCAAGUCGAGCGAAUGAAGUUCCUUCGGGAACGGAUUUAGCGGCGGACGGGUGAGUAACACGUGGGCAACCCGCCUCAUAGAGGGGAAUAGCCUUCCGAAAGGGAGAUUAAUACCGCAUAAGAUUGUAGUACCGCAUGGUACAGCAAUUAAAGGAGCAAUCCGCUAUGAGAUGGGCCCGCGGCGCAUUAGCUAGUUGGUGAGGUAACGGCUCACCAAGGCGACGAUGCGGAGCCGACCUGAGAGGGUGAUCGGCCACAUUGGGACUGAGACACGGCCCAGACUCCUACGGGAGGCAGCAGUGGGGAAUAUUGCACAAUGGGGGAAACCCUGAUGCAGCAACGCCGCGUGAGUGAUGACGGCCUUCGGGUUGUAAAGCUCUGUCUUCAGGGACGAUAAUGACGGUACCUGAGGAGGAAGCCACGGCUAACUACGUGCCAGCAGCCGCAGAAA
rnacentral:rRNA from 1 species